AAACCAUGGUGAGGGCACCUUCUCAAUUGGUCAUAUCUCUCCCAUGCAUCAUAAAGUGUUUCUAAAUCCGUCUACACAAAAGAAGAAAUAUCAUUCCUUAAUUA
rfam:Gossypium arboreum cultivar AKA8401 contig_10214_5, whole genome shotgun sequence.